rnacentral:rRNA from 1 species
UACGUAGGGUCCAAGCGUUAUCCGGAAUUACUGGGCGUAAAGAGUUGCGUAGGUGGCAUAGUAAGCGAAUAGUGAAAUGAUACGGCUCAACCGUAUGUCCAUUAUUUGAACUACUAAGCUAGAGUAUGGGAGAGGUAGAUGGAAUUUCUAGUGUAGGAGUGAAAUCCGUAGAUAUUAGAAGGAACACCGAUGGCGUAGGCAGUCUACUAGCCCAUUACUGACACUAAGGCACGAAAGCGUGGGGAGCGAACGGG